GGAGUGCGGGGGAGGGAGGAGGCAGUUACAGGGAGGUGCCGCCUUCUCCCACUCACCGGGCUUGGGACGUAGAACCUUAGUGUUGGGGGCUUCCUGAGUUCGAGCCCAUGGAUUAGCCGCAGGGGGAAGCGCCGGUUCCGAGUUGGUUCUGUGGCAGUGCGGGCACGGCACCAGGCACCAUGAAGAAGCAGUUCAAUCGCAUGAAGGUUCUGGCGAACCAGACCGUAGGGAGAGCAGAAAAGACUGAGGUACUAAGUGAUGACCUACUGCAGAUUGAAAGACGGCUUGACACCGUACGGCUGAUCUGUCACAAUGCACAUAAGAAGCUGCUGGGUUGCUUGCAGGGACAGCCGGGAACAGAGGCGGAAAAGAGAUAUAAAAAACUCUCUCUAAUGGGCGUGUCACAAUCCAUGGUGGAGGGGUGCUCGCUGCUUGGUGACGAUACUCUAUUGGCGAAAACGUUGUACUCGUGUUCAGAUGCAGAGCAGCAGCUGGCCAUGGAGCUGUCUAUGCACGAGAUAGCAAUAGAGAAGGAUAUCAUGGAACCUUUAAACCAGCUGGCAGAGGUGGAGAUCCCCAACAUCCAGAAGCAGAGGAAGCAGUUGACUAAACUGGUGUUGGACUGGGAUUCGGCACGUGCCAGGUUUAACCAGGCACAAAAGUCCGGGGCUAACUUUCAGAUGCAGCCUGGGAAGAUGGACUCACUGAAGGAGGACAUGGAUGAAGCUAUGAACAAAGUGGAACAGUGCAGGGACCAGCUUGUAGCCGACAUGUACAACUUUGUCUCGAAGGAAGGAGAAUAUGGAAAAUAUUUUGUAACAUUGUUAGAGACACAAGCCGAAUAUCAUAGGAAAGCACUAGCUGCCUUAGAAAAGGCCCUUCCUGAAAUCCAAGCCCAGCAAGAUAAGUGGACAGAAAAGCCCGCAUUUGGCACACCACUAGAGGAGCACUUGAAACGAAGUGGGAGAGAGAUAGCUCUACCCAUUGAAGCCUGUGUAAUGAUGCUGCUGGAGACCGGCAUGAAAGAAGAGGGCUUGUUCAGGAUUGCAGCAGGAGCCUCCAAACUCAAGAAGCUUAAAGCUGCACUGGACUGUUCCACAUCUCAGCUAGAGGAGUUCUACUCAGACCCACAUGCGGUGGCAGGGGCACUAAAAUCGUAUCUGCGUGAACUGCCGGAACCUCUGAUGACCUUUAACUUGUAUGAGGAAUGGAACCAUGCUGGAAACAUUCCAGACCAGAACACAAAGCUGCAGGCCUUAUGGGUGGUAUGCCAGAAACUUCCCAAACCAAAUCUGGAAAACUUCAGGUAUCUUGUGAAAUUCUUGGCCAAGCUGAGUCACCACAGUGACAUCAACAAGAUGACUCCCAGCAACAUUGCAAUUGUUUUGGGUCCCAACCUUCUGUGGGCAAGGCAUGAAGGAACCCUCGCAGAAAUAGCAGCUGCAACAUCUGUCCACGUAAUGACAAUCAUCGAACCAAUCAUUCAGCACGCGGACUGGUUCUUUCCAGAUGAAUUGGAUUUUAAUGUUUCUGGUGCCUUUGUUCCGGUUGCACCCACAACACAUUCCAACAAUGUGCCUUACACCGGCAAUGAUAUGUCAUAUGAGUUUGGGCCACUGGAGAAGAAAAGGCCUUUCAGUAUGGUGAUGGAUGGAGAGUUAAAGAGGGACAGCUCAGGUCUGAAAGUGAUGGACUACUAUCUGAACACUCGCAGAGGGGGCACCUUAAACCGAAAACAUGGUGCACCAACUGUCCAACCUCCGCUCCCGCCCACUGAAAGCGGUAACCAGUCAGAUCAUUCGGCAUCCUCGUUAGAUGUUGGUCCCACAGUGGCUACAUCAGUGCAGCCCACGGCUUCUGCAGACCCUGUGCUAACCCACAGCAAUGAUGAAACUAGUACGUUCAAGACUAAAGAUCUGACACCUGCAACCACCCCGCCAUCACUACGGAACGGAACUCAUCAACCCCCUGGUGGUGGAAAUGCAGUGGUUCCUGCACAGGGCAAUGCCAACCCAAGUCCCAUCUCCUCCAGGCGAGGUACAAAAAAACCUGCACCAGCUCCUCCAAAGCCAGUUGUACCCCAUUCAGGGCAACUUGCUAAUUCAGGUUCAUCCAUUUCUGCAAAUGUCCCACCCUCCAUCUCACCCAAGCCCUCCAAUACUGCCCAUAAUCCUUCUCCACCAAGUAGUAUUACCAGCCAGGGAGUCGCUCCGGCCACCUCUACACACUCACAUGGCACCCUGCCUCGUAGGCAUUCAGGCAGCCAGCCAUUCAUCCAAGCACCCAGUCAUCCUCCUCCCCAGCCACCCACUCAGUCAGCAACUCUGUCACUGUCUAAAGCUAAUGCCCAACCAGUGGCGUUCCCCACCGAAUCCUCAACAGAUCAGUCCUCCAGUCCUCCACACACACCAACACCUCCAGAUACUCCCCCCCUGGGUGUAGAACAUCCAGGAUCCCAGCCAGCUGCCCCUGAAGCUACCCAGACGCAGCCAUCACCCCCACAGACUGGGACUCUACCCAGACCUCGACCUGUCCCCAAGCCACGCGUUCGGCCUACAGUCCCUCCUCCGCCUCAGCCCCCAGCCUCUCCAACAGCCCUGGAGCACCCACAGCCAUCAUCAGCUUCAAAGAUCAUCACUGGUUGGGAAAGUUACCGAUUCUAAGAUGUAUGAUGUGCCUUUAUUGGUAGCCACUGAAUCUUCAAGGUUUUAUGAUCCUCAAGGUCGUUCUGUGGUAGAAUCAGCGACUCCGGCUCCUUUCACAGAGCCUUCCCCACCAUCCUCGGUCAACUCAGAAACUGACAUUGAGAGCACGGCUCUGUGACGUGGUCAAGGAACCUGCACUAUGGACUUCCCACUCUGCAACCCGAUCCAGGUGCCCUGUGUCAAGACUCAGCAGUGAAAAGCUUUGUACUCCUUUCAUAUAUAUAUAUAUAUAAAUAUAUGAAUAUUUUCCCUCACGAGGGAAGGACUUUGAGGUUUGAAUGACCUGGUGUGUCUUGCCAUUAUAAUAUGGACGUGGCCUUAGGCUUGGGAUGCAGUUCCUGGACUUGUAGGGAAUAUAUCAAGCUGCUGUUUCCUCUCUCCUUUGUACCAAGCCCUCUGCAUUUGGUGGGGCAGAGGUAGAACACUCUGAAGACAUUCCAUUGCAGUCCCUUUUAUUGCCCCCUCUGUAUCACGUGGCUGCCAGCUAAACCAGCAGCCGUCAGUGACCCAUAUUGCUUUGAUGCAUCCUUUUGAAGUGUACAAACACAUCUAACAGCCCAUAUUUUAGGAUUAUGGAUAAAUAAAGAUGCAUUUUUUGGCACUUUACCUGAACCAUAGGAAUGAGUGAGUGGGUGAUACUGCUGCAUUGAGGGUAUAAUCUGUGUAUAUAGAAACCUCUAGCAGAGGCUAAAUAUAUAUUUAUAUACACACAAUGCUGUUUGGAAACUGCAGGAUUUCAGUUACUCUGUGUUUGUACAGCUAUACUAUUGCAUUUGUGCAUCUGUGUGUAUAUUGCAUUUGCCAUAUGCAUAUACAGCACCAGGUAUACCCACAAGCAAAGUGGACUAAGGCUAAAUGUGUUUCACUGGUGCAUUCUUGUGUCCCAUGGCUUGGAUCAGUGUGUGGCUGUAAUGCUUCGCAAAGCUUCAUUUGUAGGGCCAAACAGUAACUAUAUAAAGUACUACUGUCCCAUCCUCAACAACUAAAGGGCUGCCAGUUGGGCAGUAUUUCUAAUGACAUUCUCUAGCCCCUGCUCUUUACAUAUACCUGUCCUCUCACUCUUUCUAGUCACCAUCUUACCCUACUGUCUCUACCCUUUCCUACUGUACCUCUCCCCUGACCCUUCCUAGUCACCAUCUUACCCUACUGUCUCCAUCCUUUCCUACUGUACCUCUCCCCUGACUCUUCCUAGUCACCAUCUUACCCUACUGUCUCCAUCCUUUCCUACUGUACCUCUCCCCUGACCCUUCCUAGUCACCAUCUUACCCUACUGUCUCCAUCCUUUCCUACUGUACCUCUCCCCUGACCCUUCCUAGUCACCAUCUUACCCUACUGGCUCCAUCCUUUCCUACUGUACCUCUCCCCUGACCCUUCCUAGUCACCAUCUUACCCUACUGGCUCCAUCCUUUCCUACUAUACCUCCCCCCUGACCCUUCCUAGUCACCAUCUUACCCUACUGGCUCCAUCCUUUCCUACUGUACCUCUCCCCUGACCCUUCCUAGUCACCAUCUUACCCUACUGUCUCCGUCCUUUCCUACUAUACCUCUCCCCUGACCCUUCCUAGUCACCAUCUUACCCUACUGUCUCCACCCUUUCCUACUGUACCUCUCCCCUGACUCUUCCUAGUCACCAUCUUACCCUACUGUCUCCAUCCUUUCCAACUAUAUGUAGCCCAUAUAAGCACCUGAUCAGUAAAUAUCCCAUUUUACUAGGUAGCUUUGGGUGCCAACUCUGCCCCCCAGCCCUGGCUAUAGGCACAGCGAUACAGCACAAGGAUAUGUACAGCCUGAGCAGGGAGAGACACUGUCUCACUCUCUGGAGAAGGCUGGAAAUGCACAAUGGGUUUCUAAUUCACCUGCUCUUCACUUUUAGUGACAUCAUACUGUAUUAAUAUAGUAACUAUUUGACCUACAGUGCCUCAUGGAAGCUUAAUGCUGAUUGGUUACUGCCCUGAUGCAAAUUGCCCCUGUGUUAAUAAAUGACCAACACUAUGUCUGCUCUGGUUAAUGAUUGGAUGCAUUUCCCCAGCAAGCAGUAAGAAUAUCCCAUCAGAACAAAAAUGUCUUCUGUGCUACAGAUUCCAUUUACAGCUUAUAUCUGUGGAGUAGUUUUAUUACACCUGCUAUACUCCCACUGCUGUUUAACUACAUUUCCCAUCAUCCUGACCUAGCCACUGGCUAAUGGGAGAUACAAGACCAAGGUCUCACAAAAGCAGUUUCCCCCCAGUUUGUCUGUAAGUUUAUACAAGUGAAGUGCUGACUGUUCUGUAAGAUUUUCUUUCCCUGACCGGGCCGCGGGUGCAAGGCAGAUGGAUCUGCUGUGGAUAAAGCUCAGCAACGGGACUUAAAUUAUAUAUUUUUGCCACACAUAAGAAAAUAAGGUUGAUGUAUAUUUCCUCUUCCCACGGAAAUAAAAAAAAAAGUUAUGAGGUU